GACGGUAGGGCGCGAGCGUUGUCCGGAUUUAUUGGGCGUAAAGAGCUCGUAGGCGGCUUGUCGCGUCGACUGUGAAAACCCGCGGCUCAACCGUGUGGUCUGCAGUCGAUACGGGCAGGCUAGAGUUCGGUAGGGGAGACUGGAAUUCCUGGUGUAGCGGUGAAAUGCGCAGAUAUCAGGAGGAACACCGGUGGCGAAGGCGGCUAUCUGGACAGAGUCUGACGCUGAGGCGCGAAAGCUAGGGGAGCAAACAGG
rnacentral:rRNA from 1 species